GCGGCAUUGGCCGCAACGCCGCGUCGUUCCUAGCUCUUGACCACCGAUGUGCUGGCGCUGGUGAUUGAACGACGAUGCGGAAGGUCGGUGCGAGUUCGACCCGGCCUUUUUUUGUU
rnacentral:sRNA from 1 species